AGAGUUUGAUCCUGGCUCAGGAUAAACGCUGGCGGCGCACAUAAGACAUGCAAGUCGAACGAACUUAACCAUUAGUUUACUAUUGGAGCGGUUAGUGGCGGACUGGUGAGUAACACGUAAGCAACCUGCCUAUCAGAGGGGAACAACAGUUAGAAAUGACUGCUAAUACCGCAUAUGCCUUAGAACCACAUGGUUCAAAAGGGAAAGGAGCAAUCCGCUGAUAGAUGGGCUUGCGUCUGAUUAGCUAGUUGGUGGGGUAAUGGCCUACCAAGGCAACGAUCAGUAGCCGAACUGAGAGGUUGAACGGCCACAUUGGGACUGAGAUACGGCCCAGACUCCUACGGGAGGCAGCAGUCGGGAAUAUUGCGCAAUGGAGGAAACUCUGACGCAGUGACGCCGCGUGCAGGAAGAAGGUUUUCGGAUUGUAAACUGCUUUAGACAGGGAAGAACAAAGACAGUACCUGUAGAAUAAGCUCCGGCUAACUACGUGCCAGCAGCCGCGGUAAUACGUAGGGAGCGAGCGUUAUCCGGAUUUAUUGGGUGUAAAGGGUGCGUAGACGGGAAGUCAAGUUAGUUGUGAAAUCCCUCGGCUUAACUGAGGAACUGCAACUAAAACUGAUUUUCUUGAGUACUGGAGAGGAAAGUGGAAUUCCUAGUGUAGCGGUGAAAUGCGUAGAUAUUAGGAGGAACACCGGUGGCGAAGGCGACUUUCUGGACAGAAACUGACGUUGAGGCACGAAAGUGUGGGGAGCAAACAGGAUUAGAUACCCUGGUAGUCCACACCGUAAACGAUGGAUACUAGGUGUAGGGGAUAUUAAAAUUCUCUGUGCCGCCGCUAACGCAAUAAGUAUCCCACCUGGGGAGUACGGCCGCAAGGUUGAAACUCAAAGGAAUUGACGGGGGCCCG
rnacentral:rRNA from 1 species